GUGAGCCAUAAUUAUACCCACUGCACUCCAGCCUAGGCAAUAGAAGAAAAGAGAAAAAACACUGGAAUCUUCGCAUCUAAGGAAACUGUCAGAUCACUAACUGACCACUAAGCUAACAAUAGAAAAUUCAUUGGCUACAUGUGACAAAAAAUACACUUUAUAAAAUUAGUUCUAAAAAGUCACUGAACAAAUAACAGCUACAACAGAUAGCAACAACAAACCCAGGAGAGGGAGAGAAUCUGAUUUUCAUAGUUGCCACCUUAUAAUAUUCAAAAUGCAAAAAAUCUGAGGCAUGAUAAGAAACAAUGACCCAUACACAAGAAAAAAAGAAACUGAUAGAAACUGUCCCAAAGGAGGCCCAGACAUUGAGAUUUUUAAUGUGGACUUUCAGUCAUAUGCUCAAGAACUGAAGGAAACCAUGGACAAAGAACUAAAGGAAACCAUGAAAAACAAUGUCCUAAGUAGACAAUAUCAAUAAAGAGAUAGAAAUUAUGAAAAAGCAAUCAAAUAGAAAUUCUGGAGCUGAAAAGUACAGUGACAGAAAGAACAGAUUUGAACAGGCAGAAUAAUCAACUAAUUUGAAGAUAGGUCAAUUGAGAUUAUCCAAUCUGAGGAACAGAAAGAAAAAAGAAUAAAGAAAAAUGAACAGAGCCUAAGAAAUAUGUGAGACACCAUUAAGUGUACCAAUAUACACAAAAUGGGAGUCCCAGAAUGAGAGAGAGAGAAGGGCAGAAAUAAUAUUUGAAGUAAUAAUGACCAAACACUAACCAAAUUUAGUGAAAGACAUAAGUAUGAAUAUAUUGUGACUCCAAAGUAGCAUAGACAUUGAAACCAAGACACAUUAUAAUCAAACUGUUGAAAGCCAAACAGAAUCCUGAAAAUAGCAAGAUAGAGUCAAACCGUUAACUACUUAUGAGCCUUAACAGCUCAUUGGUUCAGGCAUUAGA